rnacentral:rRNA from 1 species
GACGAACGCUGGCGGCGUGCCUAACACAUGCAAGUCGAACGGGACCCGCAAGGGUUCAGUGGCGGACGGGUGCGUAACACGUGAGGAACAUACCCAUCGGCGGGGGAUAGCCGGCCCAACGGGCCGGGUAAUACCGCGUACGACGCUUGGGGCGCAUGCUCCGGGCGUGAAAGCAGCAAUGCGCCGAUGGAGUGCCUCGCGGCCUAUCAGCUUGUUGGUGGGGUCACGGCCCACCAAGGCUACGACGGGUAGCUGGUCUGAGAGGAUGAUCAGCCACAUUGGGACUGAGACACGGCCCAGACU